rnacentral:sRNA from 1 species
GUCGCUGAGACAACAGCGACCCGGAUUGGCGUCCGGAACUGUACUGGCGGACAACCGCCGUUUGGCGGUAUUUUU